GGAUUAACCCUUUUUUUUAUAAACAUAGCAGUUUCAGAGAAACUGCUAUGUUUAUACUGAGGGUUAAUCCAGCCUCCAGAGCCUCUAGUGGCUGUCUCAUUGACAGCCGCUAGAGGCGCUUGCGUGCUUCUCACUGUGAAAAUCACAGUGAGAGCACGCAAGCGUGCAUAGGAAAGCAUUGUAAAUGCUUUCCUAUGCGACCAGCUGAAUGCGCAUUCAGCCGAUGACGUCGCGAGCAAGGAGGAGAGGAGGAGUACAGCUCCCCGCCCGGCGCUGGAGAAAGGUAAGUGUUUAACCCCUUCCUCUCUCCAGAGCCCGGCGGCAGGGGGUCCCUUAGGGUGGGGGCACCCUCAGGGCACUAUAGUGCCAGG